rnacentral:rRNA from 1 species
UGGGGAAUCUUGCGCAAUGGGCGCAAGCCUGAUCCAGCCAUGCCGCGUGGAUGAUGAAGGCCUUAGGGUUGUAAAAUCCUUUUCGUUGGGGACGAUAAUGACGGUACCCAAAGAAGAAGCUCCGGCUAACUUCGUGCCAGCAGCCGCGGUAAUACGAAGGGGGCUAGCGUUGUUCGGAUUUACUGGGCGUAAAGCGCGUGUAGGCGGAUUUGUAAGUUGGGGGUGAAAUCCCGAGGCUCAACCUCGGAACUGCCUUUGAUACUGGCAAUCUAGAGUCCGGAAGAGGUUAGUGGAAUUCCCAGUGUAGAGGUGAAAUUCGUAGAUAUUGGGAAGAACACCAGUGGCGAAGGCGGCUAACUGGUCCGGUACUGACGCUGAGGUGCGAAAGCGUGGGGAGCAAACAGGAUUAGAUACCCGGGUAGUCCCUGAGCGGGCUGGCAAGGCGCAU